GACGAACGCUGUCGGCGUGCUUAACACAUGCAAGUCGAACGGAAAGGCCCUGCUUUUGUGGGGUGCUCGAGUGGCGAACGGGUGAGUAACACGUGAGUAACCUGCCCUUGACUUUGGGAUAACUUCAGGAAACUGGGGCUAAUACCGGAUAGGAGCUCCUGCUGCAUGGUGGGGGUUGGAAAGUUUCGGCGGUUGGGGAUGGACUCGCGGCUUAUCAGCUUGUUGGUGGGGUAGUGGCUUACCAAGGCUUUGACGGGUAGCCGGCCUGAGAGGGUGACCGGCCACAUUGGGACUGAGAUACGGCCCAGACUCCUACGGGAGGCAGCAGUGGGGAAUAUUGCACAAUGGGCGGAAGCCUGAUGCAGCAACGCCGCGUGCGGGAUGACGGCCUUCGGGUUGUAAACCGCUUUCGCCUGUGACGAAGCGUGAGUGACGGUAAUGGGUAAAGAAGCACCGGCUAACUACGUGCCAGCAGCCGCGGUGAUACGUAGGGUGCGAGCGUUGUCCGGAUUUAUUGGGCGUAAAGGGCUCGUAGGUGGUUGAUCGCGUCGGAAGUGUAAUCUUGGGGCUUAACCCUGAGCGUGCUUUCGAUACGGGUUGACUUGAGGAAGGUAGGGGAGAAUGGAAUUCCUGGUGGGGCGGUGGAAUGCGCAGAUAUCAGGAGGAACACCAGUGGCGAAGGCGGUUCUCUGGGCCUUUCCUGACGCUGAGGAGCGAAAGCGUGGGGAGCGAACAGGCUUAGAUACCCUGGUAGUCCACGCUGUAAACGGUGGGUACUAGGUGUGGGGUCCAUUCCACGGGUUCCGUGCCGUAGCUAACGCUUUAAGUACCCCGCCUGGGGAGUACGGCCGCAAGGCUAAAACUCAAAGGAAUUGACGGGGCCCCGCACAAGCGGCGGAGCAUGCGGAUUAAUUCGAUGCAACGCGUAGAACCUUACCUGGGUUUGACAUGGAUCGGGAGUGCUCAGAGAUGGGUGUGCCUCUUUUGGGGUCGGUUCACAGGUGGUGCAUGCCUGUCGUCAGCUCGUGUCGUGAGAUGUUGGGUUAAGUCCCGCAACGAGCGCAACCCUUGUUCACUGUUGCCAGCACGUUAUGGUGGGGACUCAGUGGAGACCGCCGGGGUCAACUCGGAGGAAGGUGGGGAUGACGUCAAGUCAUCAUGCCCCUUAUGUCCAGGGCUUCACGCAUGCUACAAUGGCUGGUACAGAGAGUGGCGAGCCUGUGAGGGUGAGCGAAUCUCGGAAAGCCGGUCUCAGUUCGGAUUGGGGUCUGCAACUCGACCUCAUGAAGUCGGAGUCGCUAGUAAUCGCAGAUCAGCAACGCUGCGGUGAAUACGUUCCCGGGGCU
rnacentral:rRNA from 1 species